CUAGACUGGUCCUGAGGUCGACCAUGUGGAAGUUUGGGAAGGAAAUGCAAUUUCGCAAGCCUGUGAUGCUUUUGAAUGAUAACGUAUCAGAUGAGGUGGCGGAAUGCAGUGGAAGAUAGCAGAUACUGCAACGUCACGGUAUGCAAGCCAUGUCAGGGAGACUCGAGUCAAGAAAGGUCUCCAGAGCAGAUGAAACAGCUUCCACCGGCCUCCACUCAACACCAACACUCGGUAUCCAGUUCCAGAUAAGAUAAACCUCCACAGCAAUGCGGUCCAUUAUAUCAGGGCGCAUUACGUGGCUGUUGUCUGUACUAGAAGUGGGGAGACCAGGAUGGGGAACAUUCGCUGAACCGGAUGUGCGUAAUGGAGGCGCCCUGGCUUCAUUGGUUUAGAUAAUGGUGCUUCACAAUGGACCACGUGUCGGAGUGGAUGUUUUGGAAUGGCGUCUAACAUCCUUUUUCGCUUAUACCACACAAUAAAAACAAAUUAAACGUCAAUGUUUUAAUAAAGUGCUGCAUUACGAACAGGGUAGGUGGUAUCUUAAAGGGUCAUUUUAAAAACUGGAGACAGGGUUGACUUAUUAUUUCGAUUUCUUUUUACACUGUUUACAUGAGUGAGUGAGUGAGCAGGCGAGUUUUACACCGUUUUACACCGUUUUACCCAUAUUCCAGCAAUAUC